rnacentral:rRNA from 1 species
UACGAAGGGUGCUAGCGUUGUUCGGAAUUACUGGGCGUAAAGCGCGCGUAGGCGGCCAUGCAAGUCAGAGGUGAAAGCCCUGGGCUCAACCCAGGAAUUGCCUUUGAAACUGUAUGGCUAGAGUGUCGGAGGGGAUAGCGGAAUUCCUAAUGUAGAGGUGAAAUUCGUAGAUAUUAGGAGGAACACCGGUGGCGAAGGCGGCUAUCUGGACGACAACUGACGCUGAGGCGCGAAAGCACGGGGAUCAAACAGG